AGUGAACGCUGGCGGUAGGCCUAACACAUGCAAGUCGAACGGCAGCACAGUAAGAGCUUGCUCUUACGGGUGGCGAGUGGCGGACGGGCGAGGAAUACAUCGGAAUCUACUUUUUCGUGGGGGAUAACGUAGGGAGACUUACGCUAAUACCGCAUACGACCUACGGGUGAAAGCAGGGGAUCUUCGGACCUUGCGCGAUUGAAUGAGCCGAUGUCGGAUUAGCUAGUUGGCGGGGUAAAGGCCCACCAAGGCGACGAUCCGUAGCUGGUCUGAGAGGAUGAUCAGCCACACUGGAACUGAGACACGGUCCAGACUCCUACGGGAGGCAGCAGUGGGGAAUAUUGGACAAUGGGCGCAAGCCUGAUCCAGCCAUACCGCGUGGGUGAAGAAGGCCUUCGGGUUGUAAAGCCCUUUUGUUGGGAAAGAAAAGCAGCAGGUUAAUACCCCGCUGUUCUGACGGUACCCAAAGAAUAAGCACCGGCUAACUUCGUG
rnacentral:rRNA from 1 species